rnacentral:lncRNA from 1 species
UUUCAAACUCAUAGAAUGUAGAACAGACACCCUCAUGUAAACUAUAAAGUUUGAGUGAUACUGAUAUGUCAAUUUAGGUUAAUAAUUGAAGCAUGAGGACAUUUCAAGCAAUAUUCUAACAAAAUCAUUUUCAACGGCUUUCCCUAGAAUUAAGUGGCUGGCGUGCAUUGUGCUCUGAGAAAAUGGUGACCUGGGAUAGGAGGAGCAAAGAUGGUCGAAUAGGAACAGCUCUGGUCUACAGCUCCCAGCGUGAGUGACGCAGAAGAUGGGUGAUUUCUGCAUUUCCAUCUGAGGUACCGGGUUCAUCUCACUAGGGAGUGCCAGACCAUGGGCGCAGUGUUUAGAAGUUUGGACUGCUAACAAAUGUCUGUUAAGCAUUACCCCAACCUGUUUUAAAAGAUGUCACAGCAUUCAUGACUAUGGAACUGUGUUCACACCAGAUGACAAGAAUCUGUUAGCAACCUGUUAUGUAGUUUUCAGCCUCUUAGGGUAUAAUGGGUAUAAAUACUAUAAUGGGUAUAAAUAAUAAAAGCAAUUGCAUGCUUACCUACAGA